UACAGAGGUCUCAAGCGUUGUUCGGAUUCAUUGGGCGUAAAGGGUGUGUAGGUGGCGCGCUAAGUCGGGUGUGAAAUUUCGGAGCUUAACUCCGAAACUGCAUUCGAUACUGCGGUGCUCGAGGACUGGAGAGGAGACUGGAAUUCAUGGUGUAGCAGUGAAAUGCGUAGAGAUCAUGAGGAAGACCAGUGGCGAAGGCGGGUCUCUGGACAGUUCCUGACACUGAGGCACGAAGGCCAGGGGAGCAAACGGG
rnacentral:rRNA from 1 species